rnacentral:rRNA from 1 species
GAUGAACGCUGGCGGCGUGCCUAAUACAUGCAAGUCGAGCGAACAGACGAGGAGCUUGCUCCUCUGACGUUAGCGGCGGACGGGUGAGUAACACGUGGAUAACCUACCUAUAAGACUGGGAUAACUUCGGGAAACCGGAGCUAAUACCGGAUAAUAUAUUGAACCGCAUGGUUCAAUAGUGAAAGACGGUUUUGCUGGCACUUAUAGAUGGAUCCGCGCCGCAUUAGCUAGUUGGUAAGGUAACGGCUUACCAAGGCAACGAUGCGUAGCCGACCUGAGAGGGUGAUCGGCCACACUGGAGCUGAGACACGGUCCAGACUCCUACGGGAGGCAGCAGUAGGGAAUCUUCCGCAAUGGGCGAAAGCCUGACGGAGCAACGCCGCGUGAGUGAUGACGGUCUUCGGAUCGUAAAACUCUGUUAUUAGGGAAGAACAAAUGUGUAAGUAACUAUGCACGUCUUGACGGUACCUAAUCAGAAAGCCACGGCUAACUACGUG